GCUCAGGUCCUUAGGAACCUGGGAUGCUGUGAGGGGGGAAGCGAUCAGCGACCCCGGCUCUGCAGUGCCUGGCUCUGCGCAUGUGUCCAAGUCGCUUCUCCUCUCAGAGCCUGCAGGGUGGCGAACGGCUGAUGGGGGCGGCAGGAGGUGCAAGGGCUGUACAGUGUCCAUGGAGGGCAGGGCUCUGAGUAGGUCGUGCCCGAUGGUUGCUGGAUGCCUGGAGAGUCUGGGCUGUAUCCCCAGAAGGGUUGCAGAGCAGGGAGUGAUGGUCCCUUUCUGUGCUGCUCUAGGGGGAGGACUUGGGCCCCGGCUCAGCUGAUGGGCUCUGUGACUGCUCCAAACA